GGAUAAGCAGGCUAGAAGAGCCGACUCCUACAGCUGCGAUCCAAGAGGUGCCUGCAACAGUUGCCCCCCGACUUCUAUCGCCCCCAUGGAGGCAAACAAAUCUGGGACAGGGAAUGGGGGUCUGGGAGAGAAGAUGAAAAGACUGAGGAUCAGAGAGGUGAGCAGUAGCUUUUCCAAGGGCCCAGAGCCAAGAAGCGUUGAAGCUUAAAAGCACGCCGCGGCAGGGAAGAUCAAACAAGCCCUGCGCCUAUCUGCAGCUUGAUCUCUCUGUACUGAGCCAUGGAGCUCCUUCUUGGAGGCAUGAAAUGCUCCCCAUCCUUCAGGAGACAACAGCCAGCCACUCCUUGUCCAGUCAGCAACGCUGGAAUACCUCUGCAGCUCACAGCCCAACGCCCACAGCCUUCGAGUCAGUUCUUGAUAUUCGGCAAUGCACUGGACUCCUGAUCCCAUCAGCUCCUGGCUGAAGGUGGGCCAACCCUUCUCCAUUUCCUUCAAUUCAAACAUUUCCUCAUGUCCCUCAGUGCCAAGCCCUGUGCCAGGAGCUGAGGACCCAGAGGUGAGCUAGAUCUAAAAUCUGACCUCAAGGAGCCAAUAGUCUGAGAGGAAGACUAGAGUGGAUAAAAAUACCUUGGUAAUUUAUCACUCAAUAAAUAUCCAAUAAAUGCUAUUAUAUGCCAA